rnacentral:lncRNA from 1 species
GCAUGUAUGCCAAAUAGGAAUCAUAACAUAUAAAAUGUUCAACUUUGAAACAUCAUUUACAAAAUAACUUUUUUGUAUUUUAAGCAUACAACUACAACUGGAAAUAUUCACAACCACUGUAAUUUAAUCAGAGGAAAUAAAUGUGAUUUUGUAAUUUAUAUAGAAAAUAUCUUACAGCUUUCGAUCUUCUCCGAAGCUUUUCCAUUCAUGCUAGUGUUUUCAGUGAGUUUUUUCUCAUCACCAGAAUUAGUGUUCACUCUUUCUGCUGCCUGAUCCACUUCCAUUCCUGCCUUUAAUACGUCAUUCUACGGAAUGUACACAAAUGAAAGUCACAGCCAAGAUUGGUAAACUUCUUAAAUGAAGAAAACAAAAAACAGUUAAGCCAUACACGCCGACACUAUAGAAGGAAGAAAAUUACACAUGAAACUCUUAUACUAUAAGACGAUAACAGCUUAUCAAUUAAAAAACCACAUUAAAAAAUUCCCCUAUAAAGUUGAUAAAAUAUGAACUUUACUUUGCUAAGAUUGAAAAUAUGACUCAAUUCCUUGCAUGUUGGAAUGAAGUCAAUGAUUUGUUAUAACUGGACCUUUGCAUCUUCAGGCCUAAACUACAAAUGAGAAGAAUGCGGGUGAAAAGACAAUGUACCGCCAGAAUCCCCCCAAAAAAAAUCUAUAGUAAAAUCUGUUAAAAAGUCAAGAACAUGUUUAUGCCCUAAUAUGAAUCCUUGUAAACUACAUAACCUUAGCAACGUAAAGUUGUAAAAACUUGUAAUUGGUAGGUUCUUCAUGCACUACCUAAAUUCUCUAAGAUGGAUGUUAAAUCGCGAAUCAAAUUACAUAACAAGUGUGGUGAGAAGGUUGGGCUUUGCGUACCAGAAAACAUAGUGGAACUGCGUCGGGAGAGUAUCGGAGAGGGAGGGAAUGGUUUCAGGAGCGAAAUGCUGGGUCCGAUCGAAGGGAGAGGGAGAUCGCUGCGACCUGGGAGUGAGUGGUCUUCUCUUUCUCUCGAGUUAGGGUGUGCGCAGUUUCUUUUUGUUUUGGUAAAUUACUA